rnacentral:rRNA from 1 species
UGGGGAAUUUUGGACAAUGGGCGAAAGCCUGAUCCAGCCAUGCCGCGUGAGUGAAGAAGGCCUUCGGGUUGUAAAGCUCUCUUAGUCGGAAAGAGAGAGUUGCAAUGAAUAAUUGUGAUUUAUGACGGUACCGACAGAAAAAGCACCGGCUAACUACGUGCCAGCAGCCGCGGUAAUACGUAGGGUGCGAGCGUUAAUCGGAAUUACUGGGCGUAAAGGGUGCGCAGGCGGUCUUGCAAGUCAGAUGUGAAAGCCCCGGGCUUAACCUGGGAAUUGCGUUUGAAACUACAAGAAUAGAGUGCAGCAGAGGGGAGUGGAAUUCCAUGUGUAGCAGUGAAAUGCGUAGAGAUGUGGAAGAACACCGAUGGCGAAGGCAGCUCCCUGGGUUGACACUGACGCUCAUGCACGAAAGCGUGGGGAGCAAACA